UGAAUACUUGUGUGGUUCCUAACAGUCCAUCUGACCGAAGUGGAUUAGUACAACACCUCCGUUUGGAGACGUGCAGUUGCUCAGUAACCAGCAAUCUGGGACGAGACUCACUCUAAGCCGUCAUCAGUGGAGGACUUAAACAUGAACUGCUCUUGCAGAUCCUGAAGAGGACGUAAUUGGUCUUAGCCAACAAUUUAAGACAGUUAUGGAAUGAAGUUUUCAUACUGGUAAAGAGGACGUGGUAAAGAGGACAUGGUAAAGAGGUUCUAGUCCCCAAGAAGACUAUGUGCAAGGAUUUCUAAGCUUUCCUAUCUAUAUCCACUGAGCAGAAAUUAUGUCUCUGGAAAAAGAACCCGAGUGUUGCUGAAGGUUAGAUAGACUGCAUGCGCUAACAGAGGAGACUUGGAGACUGCAGAUUGAAUGUUUCUACCUAUCGUGAUCUGCUCUGUGGAAGGAACAUUUCAGCUUGGAGACAUGACUCAUUCUGCCUUGGAGACGUUCAGUGUAAUUGUUAACCUUCAAUUCCAGGGUGCAAUCUACUCUCGCUUAUCUAGGUCAGGAAUGGAGGCAGAGGUGGGGAACAGACGUGCUGGUGACAGCGUGCCCCAGUCAGACACAGCAAGAUAUUUGCUGGGGACAUUGCUGACAAGAUGGAUAUUCUUGGCAGGCAUAAUGACCUUUCUCCCCGCCUUGAGUGGAAGAAACGAGGUCAAUGGAACACUGUGCCCUGCGAGCAGGACUUCAGGGAUUAACUCCGGAGGCCAAGUAUUACUCCCCAGUUUCUAUGUCAACAAGUAUUGCAGUCGGUCCUCCAGCUUAGAAUAUACAUUUUUUGUUACACUGGAAAGACAUGGACAUGACUUAAUGUCAAUUCACAUUAUCUCUGUUAUGCCUUGGGAACAUCAGGCGCAGAUGGAGGAUCCCAGCAGAAUUUAGUAGGGAGUGUGAUAUUUUCUUUCCCCUCCUUGUUGAACUGUGGAUUGAUGGACAAAUCCAUGGAAAUGCUGAAAGGGAAGAAAUAAAAAUGAAACAGAUGGAAAGCA
rnacentral:lncRNA from 1 species